rnacentral:rRNA from 1 species
CGAGUUGAAUAAAAUAGACUUGGUGAAGCGAACCCGGCGAACUGAAACAUCUCAGUAACCGGAGGAAAAGACAUCAACCGAGAUUCCGUUAGUAGUGGCGAGCGAACGCGGACCAGGCCAGUGCCUGAUUGUAAAUUAGCAGAACAUUCUGGAAAGUUUGACCAUAGUGGGUGACAGUCCCGUAUGCGAAAAUGAUCAAUCAGGACUCGAGUAGGGCGGAACACGUGAAAUUCUGUCUGAACAUGGGGGGACCACCCUCCAAGCCUAAAUACUACUGACUGACCGAUAGUGAACUAGUACCGUGAGGGAAAGAUGAAAAGAACCCCGAUAAGGGGAGUGAAAUAGAAUUUGAAACCGCAUACUUACAAGCAGUGAGAGGGCUAUUGUAAAGCUUGAUCACGUACCUCUUGCAUUAUGAUCUAGUGAGUUACGAUGUGUAGCCAGGUUAAGCCGUUAGGUGUAGCCGUAGGGAAACCGAGUCUGAAUAGGGCGAAUAGUUGCAUGUCGUAGACCCGAAACGGGAUGAGC